rnacentral:rRNA from 1 species
GCCUACGGGAGGCAGCAGUGGGGAAUCUUCCGCAAUGGGCGAAAGCCUGACGGAGCAACGCCGCGUGAAUGAAGAAGGCCUUCGGGUUGUAAAAUUCUGUCUUCAGGGAAGAAAAAAAUGACGGUACCUGAGGAGGAAGCCCCGGCUAACUACGUGCCAGCAGCCGCGGUAAAACGUAGGGGGCGAGCGUUGUCCGGAAUUACUGGGCGUAAAGGGCGCGUAGGCGGUUUACUAAGUCUUAUGGUGAAAACUAUCGGCUCAACCGGUAGCGUGCCUGAGAAACUGGUAGACUUGAGGGCAGGAGAGGGGAGUGGAAUUCCCAGUGUAGCGGUGAAAUGCGUAGAUAUUGGGAGGAACACCAGUGGCGAAGGCGGCUCUCUGGCCUGUUACUGACGCUGAGGCGCGAAAGCGUGGGGAGCGAACGGGAUUAGAUACCCUAGUAGUC